rnacentral:lncRNA from 1 species
UUUAUAGACUUUACCAAAAAUAUAAGAGCUAAUGCUCAUGCAGAAAUAGCUAUAAUCAACUAUGGACAGCAUGAGGUAUUUUGAGCUGAAGAGAGAUAAACUGAAAGGAUUCCCUAGGCUUGUGACCUCAACAUUUUCAGUGUAUGACCUAACAGUGAUGUAGAUUAACAACUCAUUUGUAGUUUGUUUUUGGUAAGAAAUGACCACUUAAUUGAAUGAAAAGAAAAUCCUUCUACCAUCUGGGGACCCAAGGGUGCAGGAGCAGAUCUUCAAGGAAGAAGCUUGCUAACUCCUAUAUCCAGAGAAUGAACUGUUGCAGAAAGAUGCCAGAAAACCUACAUUACAUCAAGAUCAAGAAUGAUUUUUUUUGCUGUCUCUCUCUCUCUCUCUCUCUCUCUCUCUCUCUCUCUCUCUCUCUCUCUCUCUCUCUUCUAUUUCCCUCUUUUCUCUAACUAUUGUAAUUUCAUAGCUGGUCUGUUUACAAGACCCAUUGGAGAGACUAGUCUUCCUUGGGCCUCAGUGGGGAUUGUGAAUUUUAAACUAUUCCACCCUAAUCAGACCAUUCUUUAGAAGAUGUGAUUUAGCUAUUUCCUGAUCAGUAGCAAUGGAGAUACUUGGAAUAACAGAAUCAGGUCUUGGAAACUACAUUUCUCCUCCCUUCUUAGUUUAACAAGAUUUGGAAGGUCUAUAUCAAAUUCAAGAUUUAAUUAUCUAAGGAAAUGGCCUUCCACAGACAUGUGCACAAAAAAGGACAGACCUCUGGGCUGUCCUAAGUCAAGCUAAAUUAUCAUCGGUACAGAUGAGAUGCAGGAAAGUGAUGUAAAACUGUUUAUAUAAGGCACGUCACUUCCUCUUUCCUCCUUUUUCUCUGGAGAGGCAACUCUAGCUGAGAGUAUGCUCGGCAUUUCGACAUCUUGGAGUGUUGGGUGGUGAGUUUUGCCCUUGAGGUGAUUCAGGUUCGGACAUCUUAGCUGAGCCCCUUUGGAGACCAGGCUGAUUCUUCCCUCCUUCACACUCAAAACCUUACUUCCUAGAUCUCCCAAUCUUCCCAUCAGGUAUUAGCCCCUUCCUUCUUCUUUCCUCUUAAAUCUCCUCCACUAUAUCAAUUAAAUCACCACAAAAUUUCCAGUUGAGUUUGGGUGUUUCAUUAGGAUUUUAUAAAUAAAAUAAAAUCCUUGGCUACA